UGGAGCAGAUCAAGCGGUC
rnacentral:siRNA from 1 species